rnacentral:lncRNA from 1 species
CCUGAAAUUCUUCUUCUUGAUAAAGAAUUUGUUUCCCUGAAGUAACCCUUGAAAGUCAUUCUGCUUUACUUUCACAAUUUUUUUUAUGCUACUGGCUGCUCUGAACUGUUGCUGGAUAUCAUACUAUUCAAACUUAGCCUCGAUCGCAGAGAGAAAGAGCUUCAGAGAUGACAUCAUCCCUGAUCAUUUUCCAGCUUCAAUGGUUCAUGGCAAGCAACUUGUGAUUACUUGGAUGAGUUCAUGGAGAAAACAGCCC